CGUUUUUAUAGUGUAAAAAACAUAUGGUCCUUUCAAGGCCAAGCUAACAAAGUGUUUGAAAACGA
rnacentral:tRNA from 1 species